rnacentral:rRNA from 1 species
AUUGAACGCUGGCGGCAGGCCUAACACAUGCAAGUCGAACGGUAACAGGAAGAAGCUUGCUUCUUUGCUGACGAGUGGCGGACGGGUGAGUAAUGUCUGGGAAACUGCCUGAUGGAGGGGGAUAACUACUGGAAACGGUAGCUAAUACCGCAUAACGUCGCAAGACCAAAGAGGGGGACCUUCGGGCCUCUUGCCAUCGGAUGUGCCCAGAUGGGCUUAGUUAGUGGGUGGGGUAACGGCUCACCUAGGCGACGAGCCCUACCUGGCCUGAGGGGAUGACAACCGCACUGGGACAUGAACACGGGCCACGCCCCUAAGGGAGGGCACAGUGGGGAAUAUUGGACAAUUGGGGGGAACCUUGUGCAAGCAACGCGGGGUGAAUGAAGAAGCCCUUCGGGUUGUAAGUACUUUCAGCGGGGAGGAAGGGAGUAAAGUUAAUACCUUUGCUCAUUGACGUUACCCGCAGAAGAAGCACCGGCUAACUCCGUG